rnacentral:rRNA from 1 species
UACGGAGGGGGCUAGCGUUGUUCGGAAUUACUGGGCGUAAAGCGCACGUAGGCGGCUUUGUAAGUAAGAGGUGAAAGCCUGGUGCUCAACACCAGAACUGCCUUUUAGACUGCAUCGCUUGAACACGGGAGAGGUGAGUGGAAUUCCGAGUGUAGAGGUGAAAUUCGUAGAUAUUCGGAAGAACACCAGUGGCGAAGGCGGCUCACUGGACCGUUGUUGACGCUGAGGUGCGAAAGCGUGGGGAGCAAACAGG